UACGGGGGGGGCAAGCGUUGUUCGGAAUUACUGGGCGUAAAGGGCUCGUAGGUGGCCAACUAAGUCAGACGUGAAAUCCCUCAGCUUAACUGGGGAACUGCGUCUGAUACUGGUCUGGCUUGAGUGCAGGAGAGGAACGCGGAAUUCCAGGUGUAGCGGUGAAAUGCGUAGAUAUCUGGAGGAACACCGGUGGCGAAGGCGGCGUUCUGGACUGCAACUGACACUGAGGAACGAAAGCCAGGGGAGCAAACAGG
rnacentral:rRNA from 1 species